GGUAUGACUUUUGACAAUGGAUUUCUCAGCUCUCGCAUCGAUGAACAACGUAGCAAAAUGCGAUACCUAGUGUGAAUUGUAGUAUCUUGCAAACCAUCAAGUCUUUGAAUACAAGUUGCGCUUGAGGCUACCAGGCCAAGAGCAUGCCUACCUGGGCAUCAUGC
rnacentral:rRNA from 1 species